CAGUCGCCGCGGUAAUACGGAGGAUCCGAGCGUUAUCCGGAAUUAUUGGGUUUAAAGGGUGCGUAGGCGGAUAGAUAAGUCAGUGGUGAAAGACGGUGGCUCAACCAUCGCAGUGCCGUUGAUACUGUUUAUCUUGAAUAUGGAUGAGGUAGGCGGAAUGUGGCAAGUAGCGGUGAAAUGCAUAGAUAUGCCACAGAACACCGAUUGCGAAGGCAGCUUACCAAGGCAAAAUUGACGCUGAGGCACGAAAGCGUGGGGAUCGAACAGGAUUAGAUACCCCUGUAGUCCCUGUCUCUUAUAC
rnacentral:rRNA from 1 species